GAUGAACGCUGGCGGCGUGCCUAAUACAUGCAAGUCGAGCGAACAGACGAGGAGCUUGCUCCUCUGACGUUAGCGGCGGACGGGUGAGUAACACGUGGAUAACCUACCUAUAAGACUGGGAUAACUUCGGGAAACCGGAGCUAAUACCGGAUAAUAUAUUGAACCGCAUGGUUCAAUAGUGAAAGACGGUUUUGCUGUCACUUAUAGAUGGAUCCGCGCCGCAUUAGCUAGUUGGUAAGGUAACGGCUUACCAAGGCGACGAUGCGUAGCCGACCUGAGAGGGUGAUGGGCCACACGGGAACUGAGACACGGCCCAGACCCCCAGGGGAGGCAGCAGUGGGGAAUCUUCCGCAAGGGGCGAAAGCCUGACGGAGCAACGCCGCGGGAGGUAUGAAGGUCUUGGGAUCGUAAAACUCUGUUAUUAGGGAAAAAAAAAUGUGUAAGUAACUAUGCCCGUCUUGACGGUACCUAAUCAAAAAGCCACGGCUAACUACGU
rnacentral:rRNA from 1 species